rnacentral:rRNA from 1 species
GACGAACGCUGGCGGCGUGCUUAACACAUGCAAGUCGAACGGAAAGGCCCUGCUUUUGUGGGGUUCUCGAGUGGCGAACGGGUGAGUAACACGUGAGUAACCUGCCCUUGACUUUGGGAUAACUUCAGGAAACUGGGGCUAAUACCGGAUAGGAGCUCCUGCUGCAUGGUGGGGGUUGGAAAGUUUCGGCGGUUGGGGAUGGACUCGCGGCUUAUCAGCUUGUUGGUGGGGUAGUGGCUUACCAAGGCUUUGACGGGUAGCCGGCCUGAGAGGGUGACCGGCCACAUUGGGACUGAGAUACGGCCCAGACUCCUACGGGAGGCAGCAGUGGGGAAUAUUGCACAAUGGGCGGAAGCCUGAUGCAGCAACGCCGCGUGCAGGAUGACGGCCUUCGGGUUGUAAACCGCUUUCGCCUGUGACGAAGCGUGAGUGACGGUAAUGGGUAAAGAAGCACCGGCUAACUACGUG